rnacentral:rRNA from 1 species
AGGACGAACGCUGGCGGCGUGCUUAACACAUGCAAGUCGAGCGGAAAGGCCCUUCGGGGUACUCGAGCGGCGAACGGGUGAGUAACACGUGAGUAAUCUGCCCCUAUGCUCUGGGAUAGCUCCGGGAAACCGGGAUUAAUACCAGAUACGACCACUUUAGACAUCUGUUGUGGUGGAAAGAAUUUUGGCUAGGGAUGAGCUCGCGGCCUAUCAGCUUGUUGGUGAGGUAACGGCUCACCAAGGCGACGACGGGUAGCCGGCCUGAGAGGGCGACCGGCCACACUGGGACUGAGACACGGCCCAGACUCCUACGGGAGGCAGCAGUGGGGAAUAUUGCGCAAUGGGCGAAAGCCUGACGCAGCGACGCCGCGUGGGGGAUGAAGGCCUUCGGGUUGUAAACCCUUUCAGCAGGGACGAAGCGAAAGUGACGGUACUGCAGAAGAAGCGCGGCUAACUACGCGCCAGCAGCCGCGGUAA